rnacentral:lncRNA from 1 species
UUACAUCUUCUGACAUCAGACUCGGACUUCUCUUGAACUGAAUUUUAAUGUGCGUAUUGUUAUGCGUUUACUUUUCUACAUUGACUAGAGGUAUAGGGGGAGGGUUGAGAUCUCACAAACAUGUUUAACCCUGCCGCAUUUUUGCGCCUGUCCCAAGUCAGGAGCCUCUGGCCUUUGUUAGUCUUGUAUUAUUUUAAUUUUAGUUUCUUUUGUACAAUUUGGAAAUUAGUAUGGCGUUCAUUAUCACUGAACUAGUAUAUAUUUGUUUAGGGGCCAGUUGAAGGACGCCUCCGGGUGCGGGAAUUUCUCGCUACAUUGAAGACCUGUUGGUGACCUUCUGCUGUUGUUUUUUAUUUGGUCGGGUUGUUGUCUCUUUGACACAUUCCCCAUUUCCAUUCUCAAUUUUAUUUUAAU